rnacentral:rRNA from 1 species
GGCUCAGAACGAACGCUGGCGGCGUGCCUAACACAUGCAAGUCGAACGAGAAGUACGUAGCAAUACGUAUUGUAAAGUGGCGCACGGGUGAGUAACACGUGGGUAAUCUGCCCUCGGGUUUGGGAUAACCCCGCGAAAGCGGGGCUAAUACCGGAUAAGACCACGGAGACCAAAGUCUCUGAGGUAAAAGGUGGCCUCUAUUUAUAAGCUACCACUUGAGGAUGAGCCCGCGGCCCAUUAGCUAGUUGGCAGGGUAAUGGCCUACCAAGGCAAUGAUGGGUAGCUGGUCUGAGAGGACGAUCAGCCACACUGGAACUGAGACACGGUCCAGACUCCUACGGGAGGCAGCAGUGGGGAAUAUUGCGCAAUGGGCGAAAGCCUGACGCAGCAACGCCGCGUGGGGGAUGAAGGUUCUCGGAUUGUAAACCCCUUUCGAUCGGAACGAAUCCCCUCCUGGUAAAUAAUCAGGAGGAUCGACGGUACCGAGAGAAGAAGCCACGGCUAACUCUGUGCCAGCAGCCGCGGUAAGACAGAGGUGGCGAGCGUUGUUCGGAUUUAUUGGGCGUAAAGCGAACGCAGGUGGUUUGGUAAGUCAGGGGUGAAAGACCACAGCUUAACUGUGGCAUUGCCUUUGAUACUGCCUUUCUUGAGUAGAGUAGGGGGAAGCGGAAUUUCGAGUGUAGAGGUGAAAUUCGUAGAUAUUCGGAGGAACACCGGUGGCGAAGGCGGCUUCCUGGACUCUAACUGACACUCAUGUUCGAAAGCGUGGGGAGCAAACAGGAUUAGAUACCCUGGUAGUCCACGCCCUAAACGAUGGGCACUAGGUGUGGGAGGUAUCGACCCCUUCCGUGCCGCAGCUAACGCAUUAAGUGCCCCGCCUGGGGGAGUACGGCCCGCAGGUUGAAACUUAAAG